rnacentral:sRNA from 2 species
CUCUCCGGAACGCCGAAUCCUGUCGCCGGGCCGAGCGGGCACGCGCAACACCAGCAUCACGGCAGGAGCGGGGGAACCACAGGUAAGUCGCGCUGCCCGGACUGGUCCGGGCAGCGCUAGGGGUGAGGUCGCGCUUGGCGCGGCCGGGCAACUCCAGCCCGAACCCGACAGCUCACCUCGUAGGCGUGGGAGAGGAAACAC